GUGAUACUGGAGCUGUGGCAGCCAUCUUGUGGUCACUAGCUUCAGUCCUUCUGGAUUGGCACUGCUGAUUGUGGCACCUCUUGGGCACAGCAUUUCCUGCCCGGCUCUAUGCCCCUGAGCAGCUCCUAUUGGCUGUCCCUGGUCAGGGUUGCAUGCUGGUCCAAUCAUCCCUGGCGCAAAGGAGAGGCCGUGGACAUGAAAGGAAGGAGCCACUGGGUACAUGUGGUGUCACAGAUGGCCUGCUCUGCACUUCUACUUCUAAAGCACAGAUGGGAAGAAAUGGAUCUUGUCUACGAUCUACCCUGUACCCAACUGGGCACUUACACAGAAGCCUCACUCAUUCAGGA
rnacentral:lncRNA from 10 species